rnacentral:rRNA from 1 species
CCCUUAGAUGUUCUGGGCCGCACGCGCGCUACACUGAUGCAUUCAACGAGUCUAAAACCUGCUCUGAUAGGGGUGGGUAAUCUUUUGAAUGUGCAUCGUGAUUGGGAUAGAUGAUUGCAAUUUUUCAUCUUCAACGAGGAAUGUCUAGUAAACGCAAGUCAUCAGCUUGCAUUGAUUACGUCCCUGCCCUUUGUACACACCGCCCGUCGCUCCUACCGAUUGAAUGAUCCGAUGAAUAUCAUGGAUUGAGGAUGCAAGCAGGUUCGCCUGUCUUCAUCUUCGAGAAGUGAAGUAAAUCUUAUCAUUUAGAGGAAGGAGAAGUCGUAACA